CCAGUUACAUCAUUUGGAUGCCCUGAUUUAUCUAUAGAAGCGCCCUCAACCAUUAAAAAGAAUCCUUUGUCGUUUUGUUUUAAUUUAUUUACGGCACUAUCAGU
rfam:Staphylococcus cohnii subsp. cohnii strain 073AN genome assembly, contig: ERS576551SCcontig000001